UGGGGAAUUUUGGACAAUGGGCGCAAGCCUGAUCCAGCCAUGCCGCGUGCGGGAAGAAGGCCUCCGGGUUGUAAACCGCUUUUGUCAGGGAAGAAAUCUUCUGAGUUAAUACCUCGGGAGGAUGACGGUACCUGAAGAAUAAGCACCGGCUAACUACGUGCCGGCAGCCGCGGUAAUACGUAGGGUGCAAGCGUUAAUCGGAAUUACUGGGCGUAAAGCGUGCGCAGGCGGUUUUGUAAGACAGGGGUGAAAUCCCCGGGCUCAACCUGGGAACUGCCUUUGUGACUGCAAGGCUUGAGUGCGGCAGAGGGGGAUGGAAUUCCGCGUGUAGCAGUGAAAUGCGUAGAUAUGCGGAGGAACACCGAUGGCGAAGGCAAUCCCCUGGGCCUGCACUGACGCUCAUGCACGAAAGCGUGGGGAGCAAAACAGGAUUAGAUACCCUGGUAGUCCACGCCCUAAACGAUGUCAACUGGUUGUUGGGGAAGGUUCCUUCUCAGUAACGUAGCUAACGCGUGAAAGUUGACCGCCUGGGGGAGUACGGCCGCAAAGGUUGAAACUCAAAUGAAUUGACGGGGUCAUAGCUGUUUCCUG
rnacentral:rRNA from 1 species